GAGGCCCGAGGGAUCCGCCUGACUCCUCGCCAGUCCUACGCCCGGGCACUGCUGGGGUUCCGGGGCUCUACCAGGCCCAGGGAGCAUCCAAGUCCUGGCAAAGUCCAGGCGGCAGCACGACCGGGCCCCGCAGCCUGACCGCCCGAAGCCUCAGCACCUGGGCCCCGGCCCCUGCGCUCCGUCCCGGGGCCGGCCGGGUAUACUCCCACUCCUGACCUGCUGUGAGCUGGGAGGAAGGAAGACAAUGUCCUUGGCUCUGUGGUCUAGAACUCUCAGGUUGUGGGCCCAGAAACAUCUCUCAAAGACAGUUGUCCCACUAAUCAGCUCGUCUGGUCCUUUUUGACAUCACUCAAACACUCUGGAUUACCAAAGAAAGGACACGGGGUGGAGGACUUGAGAGCCGCUUGCAAUUCCCUGGGCCUUAACUCGCUCAGCACAGAACAGAGCCCGGUAGUCACCUGCCUCAUAGACUACGGUGUCAGCAUCCAGCAACAUCCGAGGAGCUAUCUCACCCCAGAGAAGAGGCAGUGAUGGAAGCCAUCCUACAGGCAGAAAACCAGAGAAACCUAAAACACACAGAAAGUGCCUCCUCCUCCUCCGAGGAGGCCACCCAGACUGUUAGCACCGCCUUCUCAUCCUCAUCCUUCCCUGCCAGCGGAGGAAGACUGCCGUGUGGGGAGGGGCAAGGCGCUCCUACGUGGAGCUGGUUCUGUGCCAGACACUUAACAGUGUCUCAUGUAAGUCUUAGAACCAGAUGAAGAGUUUGAGAAGCAAAGCAAACUCACCAGGUAUGGUAGUACAUGGUGACAGAUGGCUGUAAUCCCAGCACUUGGGAGGCUAUAAGGUAGCAGGAGCAAAGGUUCAUGGGAGACCCUAGCUCAAA